CAGCCGUCGUAUGCCGGCCGUGAAAGCCUUCGACAAUACAAUGUUGCACUUACCUUGUUUAUUUUUAACCCAAAUUACAGAUUUGUGGAAUUGCGUGACACUCAGCAUUGGUCUGACUGGAGGGGUUUAUGCACCUUGUAAGUAAGUAAAUAAGUAAGUAAGGCACUCAAAGCUUCUGUUUGCACAACUUAAUUCAGAUCAGCUACUAAUCCAGUCAAAUUUGAUUGGCUGCACACAAUCAUACUAACCAGGUCAGAAAUCACUAUUCUGGAUCAUCAGGGGCCCUUCCACUUUUCCCAGGAGCUCCAUAAUAUACCACAAUUCUUUGUAGCAAAAGAAUACUAGCAGGGCUUCAUUACAUCAUCAGCCAUUUCCCCAUUGGACAAGUAGGUAGCAGGAAGUAUGGAAGGAAAAGAGGAAAACUAGCACUGUUCCAUCUCCUGAUUCACUCAAAAACUUAAGCCAUCCUCCCACUUGUUUGGGAUGCCUGCCUGCACUGUUGACUUCCCAUCCACCAAUUUGCACUACACAACUGCCUCCUACCCCCCAGUCUGGUUGCAGAGAUAGAAGACACUGUCAGGGGGAGAGUGAAAAGCCUCACACUGAUGAUUUGGGUGCUCCUCAGUUGCUAUUGGGUACUAUGUAUUUGUAUUCUGAGUUUUAGUCUUAAGUUAACCGUCUAAAGUCGCUAUUGCAAGAUGGGUGGCCUUAGAAACUGAUUAAACAAAUAAAUAAAACCCACUUGCAGUACCACUCCAGCUGCCCAUCCAGAUCCCCGCUUCACCCCAAAUGGCUCAAGAGAAGAAAAAGAUGCUCACACUCCUUGCAAGGGAAAAAAAAGCUUGAAUGAAAACCAAGUAACCCAACAGGGAGAGAAUGUGAGCAAAGGACAAGCUUCCAUCUGCUGAAUUUUGUAGACUAAGCCUUUCUGGGUAUGAUUUUGUUGCCACUCUAAUGCAAUUUAUUUAUUGUACCCUUGAAGAAAAAAAGAGCGGUUUUGACAUGUUGGGAUUUUUGCUUGUUUUCUUCUGGAAACAAUUUAGUAAGUUUCAUUGUUACUUUGCUCCAUGUUCAGCAGAUUAAAAAACAACAGCAGGGUUCAUUCAGCUUUGCCUCACUUGUUGCCUUGUUUUCAUUGUGGUAACACAACAUUUAGCUACUGCACCGAUGAUGGAUGGUUUCAUGUCUGAAAGAAGGAGGCUUGCAUAAUAAUUAUUUGUUCUUCCCGGGUAUUGAUGCAACAUAUAACUAUUCUAAAUAUCCCUAUGGAAGUUAUGGUAUAGUAGCAUCUGGUGUACCGUUUCUAACUCUCCUAAUCUGUAGGGACAGGUGUGCUCAGCUGGUGGGGAUUUAGAGUACCUACUCCGUGGAAGUGCAGAAGGAAGGAUGUUGUGUCUGUCCACCCCCCAAAUGCUUUUUUCUACACGGGAAAGCCUUCUGAUGAGCUGAUGGAGAUGCUGUUCACUGAUAAGGAGGAUGUUUGCAGCUGGUUGUUUACCUAACUUUCUUGAAUAUCUAUUGGUAUAGGAACAAACUUGAUGAAUAAGAUGUACAUGCACAAAUUCCAUGCUGUUGGAUUCUCCCCUAGGUGGGAGGUAAAUAACUUGGUGCCAGGCUUUGCCCAUCAUAUUUCCUGUCUUUCUGAAUUUUGAAAAGUGGAUCAGAAAAGGAUCAGACAAGAGCAUCCUAUUGAAUUGCUUUUGACAUACUGUAAUUUACGUUGUUCCACUAGAGGGCUCUCUGUCACAAUCAAGAGACAAAAAUAUAGUCAGUGUUGAGAUGAAACUUGCUGAGAUGAAACUUUUUCAAAAGUCAGAUGAAGAGGUGAAGGUGAAUGGCUGUGAGUUCACUGUGAAAGUUCAGCUGAGUGCCAGAAGAAGAAAGCAAGG